UACAGAGGUCCCGAGCGUUGUUCGGAUUCAUUGGGCGUAAAGCGCGCGUAGGCGGCCCGGUAAGUCCGCUGUAAAAGUCCAGGCUCAACCCUGGAACGCCGGUGGAUACUGCCGGGCUAGAGUCCGGAAGAGGCGAGUGGAACUCCUGGUGUAGCGGUGGAAUGCGCAGAUAUCAGGAAGAACACCAACGGCGAAGGCAGCUCGCUAGGACGGUAACUGACGCUGAGACGCGAAAGCGUGGGGAGAACAG
rnacentral:rRNA from 1 species